UUGGCCUUAACAUCGUUAAAGGAGGUAAGUUAAACAUGAUCCUAGAUUUUUCUUCUUAUUGCCAUUUUUUUGGUCUCUCGAACAAUACAGGAAAAUUGAAAGAAAUUUGAGAGCUUAUCAACUUGUUGUUUCUCUUUCUUUUUUCCCCUCUUCUGCUUCAUAUUUUCCCCCCAAUUUUCUCAGCUGCCAAAUGGUAAAAAGUUAGGCUUUCUGCCUUAAUUCACGCUUUUACUUUCCAAAUUUGUUAAGAAUUGGUGGGUUUGGUGAAACAAAUGAUGGCUAUAUGUAUUUUCGUUUAUUAAUUAAAAUUUGUGUAUAAAGCUGUGGGAUUGUAGUCUUAUUUUGUUUUUUGUGUUUGGCGAUUUUUUUAUAUGGUGAAGAUUUAUCUACGGAUGGUAAAU
rnacentral:misc_RNA from 1 species